UACGAAGGGGGCUAGCGUUACUCGGAUUGACUGGGCGUAAAGGGCGCGUAGGCGGUUUGUACAGUCAGACGUGAAAUUCCUGGGCUCAACCUGGGGGCUGCGUUUGAUACGUGCAGACUUGAGUGCGGAAGAGGGUCGUGGAAUUCCCAGUGUAGAGGUGAAAUUCGUAGAUAUUGGGAAGAACACCGGUGGCGAAGGCGGCGACCUGGUCCGAUACUGACGCUGAGGCGCGAAAGCGUGGGGAGCAAACAGG
rnacentral:rRNA from 1 species